rnacentral:rRNA from 1 species
GACGAACGCUGGCGGCGUGCUUAACACAUGCAAGUCGAACGGAAAGGCCUCUUUCGGGGGGUACUCGAGUGGCGAACGGGUGAGUAACACGUGAGUAACCUGCCCUUGACUUUGGGAUAACUUCAGGAAACUGGGGCUAAUACCGGAUAGGAGCUCCUGCUGCAUGGUGGGGGUUGGAAAGUUUAGGCGGUUGGGGAUGGACUCGCGGCUUAUCAGCUUGUUGGUGGGGUAGUGGCUUACCAAGGCUUUGGCGGGUAGCCGGCCUGAGAGGGUGACCGGCCACAUUGGGACUGAGAUACGGCCCAGACUCCUACGGGAGGCAGCAGUGGGGAAUAUUGCACAAUGGGUGGAAGCCUGAUGCAGCAACGCCGUGUGCGGGAUGACGGCCUUCGGGUUGUAAACCGCUUUCGCUCAUGACGAAGCUUUGUGUGACGGUAGUGGGUAAAGAAGCACCGGCUAACUACGUG